AGAGUUUGAUCCUGGCUCAGAACGAACGCUGGCGGCAGGCUUAACACAUGCAAGUCGAACGCACCGCAAGGUGAGUGGCAGACGGGUGAGUAACGCGUGGGAACGUGCCCUUCAGUUCGGGAUAACCCAGGGAAACUUGGGCUAAUACCGGAUACGUGCGAGAGCAGAAAGAUUUAUCGCUGAAGGAUCGGCCCGCGUCUGAUUAGCUAGUUGGUAGGGUAAUGGCCUACCAAGGCGACGAUCAGUAGCUGGUCUGAGAGGAUGAUCAGCCACAUUGGGACUGAGACACGGCCCAAACUCCUACGGGAGGCAGCAGUGAGGAAUAUUGCGCAAUGGGCGACAGCCUGACGCAGCGACGCCGCGUGGGGGAUGAAGGUCUUCGGAUUGUAAACCCCUUUCGGGAGGGAAGAUGGGGCGGGCAACCGCCCGGACGGUACCUCCAGAAGCAGCCACGGCUAACUUCGUGCCAGCAGCCGCGGUAAUACGAAGGUGGCAAGCGUUGUUCGGAUUUACUGGGCGUAAAGGGAGCGUAGGCGGUUUGGUAAGCCCUCCGGGAAAUCUUCAGGCUUAACCUGAAAAGGUCGGGGGGGACUGCCUGGCUAGAGGACGGGAGAGGAGCGCGGAAUUCCCGGUGUAGCGGUGAAAUGCGUAGAGAUCGGGAGGAAGGCCGGUGGCGAAGGCGGCGCUCUGGAACGUUCCUGACGCUGAGGCUCGAAAGCGUGGGGAGCAAACAGGAUUAGAUACCCCGGUAGUCC
rnacentral:rRNA from 1 species